rnacentral:lncRNA from 1 species
CUCUUUCUCUCUCUCUGUGGCAGAGCUGAGAAAGAGGCAGGCAGGCACAGCCCUCUGAGCACAGUCAGUGGAUCGCCUAAGAGCUCACUAUUGAUCCGGGAGGGAGGGACAGUCAGUCAGAAACAUACAGACAGACUUGUUCUACUAAAGAGCUCCAACUCAUUACCUCAGCACCCCCACUAUACAGCCACAUCAGUAGCAUCACCUCUAUUUGUUGCUGUUUCAUGAGCACAAGGAUUUUACGAAUGGGGUUACUAUCCCCAUGCCCAACCCUUCACCAUUACUGCUUUCUGGGGGUGCCGUUCAGGAAUUGAACCCUGUGUCGCAAGAGUAAGCAGUGACUAUUACAUCACUGCUAUAAUAUAAUGCAACAUGUCACUGCACAUUGACAACACACAGAGGUAUUAACACUAAAUCCCAGAGGUAUUAACACUAAAUCCCAGAGGUAUUAACACUAAAUCCCAGAGGUAUUAACACUAAAUCCCAGAGGUAUUAACACUAAAGCCCAGAGGUAUUAACACUAAAGCCCAGAGGUAUUAACACUAAAGCCCAGAGGUAUUAACACUAAAGCCCAGAGGUAUUAACACUAAAGCCCAGAGGUAUUAACACUAAAUCCAAGAGGUAAUAACACUACAGUAAAGCUCAGAGGUAUUAACUCUAAAGCCCAGAGGUAAUAACACUAAAUCCAAGAGGUAUUAACUCUAAAGCCCAGAGAUAAUAACACUAAAUCCAAGAGGUAAUAACACUACAGUAAAGCUCAGAGGUAUUAACUCUAAAGCCCAGAGAUAAUAACACUAAAUCCAAGAGGUAAUAACACUACAGUAAAGCCCAGAGGUAUUAACACUAAAGCCCAGAGGUAAUAACACUAAAUCCAAGAGGUAAUAACACUACAGUAAAGCCCAGAGGUAUUAACACUAAAGCCCAGAGGUAAUAACACUAAAUCCAAGAGGUAAUAACACUACAGUAAAGCCCAGAGGUAUUAACACUAAGGUAAAGCCCAGGAGGUGGUGUGCUGUCUACAGCAGCAAGAAAAUGACAUGUGCCUAAUGGUGUGUCGAUUCCUCAGCCAGUUCCAGUGAUUGUAGAGCUACUGCUGGCUGUCAUUACUGUCAUUACAGAGAGUGAAUGACAGCUCUGUCUGUCUCCUGCCGUGUGACGUUAGCAGGCUCUGGGCCAUGCCAUCCGCAGCGGGAAUGGUGAACUGACGCCACGCCACAAACUACACACUGCUUCCUGUCAGGCCCGACACCGAGUCAGACAACACUUCCUGUCUUCUUACUGCUCUCUCUCUCUCCCCCAAUUGGCCGAAAGACAACAAUCCUCCAAAAACGUGUGGUGCUGCACAUGAAUAAUACUGAAGAAUGUGUUUUUUUUGCAUAACAUGCAGCUUUUGAUUGCAACAUCGUAGAUCAGUUCUCAUCAUUCAGUUGAAUUGGUUAUGUGUGUGUAGACACCCAAACUCUGCUGCAAUAUGAGGGGGGGAGAAGGGUUGUCAUUGAGCUGUGUGCAAGUGAUCAGUGAUGUGAGGAUUGUGAUUAGAGGCCCCGGGGCCCUCAGGAACUGAUAAGAGAGUGGU